GAUGAACGCUGGCGGCGUGCCUAAUACAUGCAAGUCGAGCGAACAGACGAGGAGCUUGCUCCUCUGACGUUAGCGGCGGACGGGUGAGUAACACGUGGAUAACCUACCUAUAAGACUGGGAUAACUUCGGGAAACCGGAGCUAAUACCGGAUAACAUGUUGAACCGCAUGGUUCAACAGUGAAAGACGGUCUUGCUGUCACUUAUAGAUGGAUCCGCGCCGCAUUAGCUAGUUGGUAAGGUAAUGGCUUACCAAGGCAACGAUGCGUAGCCGACCUGAGAGGGUGGUCGGCCACACUGGAACUGAGACACGGUCCAGACUCCUACGGGAGGCAGCAGUAGGGAAUCUUCCGCAAUGGGCGAAAGCCUGACUGAGCAACGCCGCGUGAGUGAAGAAGGUCUUCGGAUCGUAAAACUCUGUUAUUAGGGAAGAACAAAUGUGUAAGUAACUAUGCACGUCUUGACGGUACCUAAUCAGAAAGCCGCGGCUAACUACGUG
rnacentral:rRNA from 1 species